rnacentral:rRNA from 1 species
AGUGAACGCUGGCGGUAGGCCUAACACAUGCAAGUCGAACGGCAGCACAGUAAGAGCUUGCUCUUACGGGUGGCGAGUGGCGGACGGGUGAGGAAUACAUCGGAAUCUACUUUUUCGUGGGGGAUAACGUAGGGAAACUUACGCUAAUACCGCAUACGACCUACGGGUGAAAGCAGGGGGUCUUCGGACCUUGCGCGAUUGAAUGAGCCGAUGUCGGAUUAGCUAGUUGGCGGGGUAAAGGCCCACCAAGGCGACGAUCCGUAGCUGGUCUGAGAGGAUGAUCAGCCAAACUGGAACUGAGACACGGUCCAGACUCCUACGGGAGGCAGCAGUGGGGAAUAUUGGACAAUGGGCGCAAGCCUGAUCCAGCCAUACCGCGUGGGUGAAGAAGGCCUUCGGGUUGUAAAGCCCUUUUGUUGGGAAAGAAAAGCAGCAGGUUAAUACCCCGCUGUUCUGACGGUACCCAAAGAAUAAGCACCGGCUAACUUCGUG